rnacentral:rRNA from 1 species
CUGAACAAAUUUGCUAAGGCCCUGAGACUUCGAUGGUUAUGGUUUGAGUGGAAAGAUGAGAGCAAACCAUGGAUUGGCAUGGGAGUGCCGUGCACGGAAGAUGACCGCCAUUUCUUUGUGGCAGCCACUACGGUCACCGUGGGAAAUGGAAGGACAGUGAGGUUCUGGACUUCAUCUUGGCUAGGAGGAUUGUGCCCUCAUGAUAUCGCUCCCUGUCUCUAUGAUCUCUCCCGCAAGAAAAACUCCUUGGUUCAGCAAGCUAUGGCCAACAACCAGUGGAUUGCGAAUAUUGACAGUUCAAAUGGCCUCUCCCUUGAACACAUCCAAUAG